rnacentral:rRNA from 1 species
GAUGAACGCUGGCGGCGUGCCUAACACAUGCAAGUCGAGCGAUCUUCUUCGGAAGAGAGCGGCGGACGGGUGAGUAACGCGUGGGUAACCUGCCCUGUACACACGGAUAACAUACCGAAAGGUAUGCUAAUACGAGAUAAUAUGCUUUUAUCGCAUGGUAGAAGUAUCAAAGCUCUGGCGGUACAGGAUGGACCCGCGUCUGAUUAGCUAGUUGGUAAGGUAAUGGCUUACCAAGGCGACGAUCAGUAGCCGACCUGAGAGGGUGAUCGGCCACAUUGGAACUGAGACACGGUCCAAACUCCUACGGGAGGCAGCAGUGGGGAAUAUUGCACAAUGGGCGAAAGCCUGAUGCAGCAACGCCGCGUGAGGGAAGAAGGUCUUCGGAUUGUAAACCUUUGUAGACAGGGAAGAAUAAAGUGACGGUACCUGUAAAGUAAGCCACGGCUAACUACGUG